UUGGAGGGCAAGUCUGGUGCCAGCAGCCGCGGUAAUUCCAGCUCCAAUAGCGUAUAUUAAAGUUGUUGCAGUUAAAAAGCUCGUAGUUGAAUUUCGGGAUCAAAUUGUUGGUCGUGCUUCAGUACGCACUGGCAUUAUUGGUUCUUACCUUCUGAAGAACCGCGAUGUCAUUAAUUUGGUGUCGUGGGGAAUCAGGGCUGUUACUUUGAAAAAAUUAGAGUGUUUAAAGCAGGCGCACGCUUGAAUACAUUAGCAUGGAAUAAUGAAAUAGGACGUUUGAUUCUAUUUUGUUGGUUCCUAGGAUCGACGUAAUGAUUAAUAGGGAUAGUUGGGGGCAUUAGUAUUCAAUUGUCAGAGGUGAAAUUCUUGGAUUUAUUGAAGACUAACUACUGCGAAAGCAUUUGCCAAGGAUGUUUUCAUUAAUCAAGAACGAAAGUUAGGGGAUCGAAGACGAUCAGAUACCGUCGUAGUCUUAACCAUAAACUAUGCCGACUAGGGAUCGGAUGAUGUUAAUUUUUUAAUGACUCAUUCGGCGCCUUACGGGAAACCAAAG
rnacentral:rRNA from 1 species